GUGAGGUAAAGGCUCACCAAGGCAUCGACGGGUAGCUAGUCUGAGAGGACGAAUAGCCACACUGGAACUGAGACACGGUCCAGACUCCUACGGGAGGCAGCAGUGGGGAAUCUUGCACAAUGGGCGAAAGCCUGAUGCAGCGACGCCGCGUGGGGGAUGAAGGCCUUAGGGUCGUAAACCCCUUUCAGGAGGGACGAAAAUGACGGUACCUACAGAAGAAGCUCCGGCCAACUACGUGCCAGCAGCCGCGGUAACACGUAGGGAGCAAGCGUUGUCCGGAUUUAUUGGGCGUAAAGAGCUCGUAGGUGGUUCCGUAAGUCGGAUGUGAAAACUCAAGGCUCAACCUUGAGACGCCAUCCGAUACUGCGGUGACUUGAGUUCGGUAGAGGAGUGUGGAAUUCCUGGUGUAGCGGUGAAAUGCGCAGAUAUCAGGAGGAACACCGACAGCGAAGGCAGCACUCUGGGCCGAUACUGACACUGAGGAGCGAAAGCAUGGGGAGCAAACAGGAUUAGAUACCCUGGUAGUCCAUGCCGUAAACGUUGGGCACUAGGUGUGGGGAUUUAUCAACGAUCUCCGCGCCGUCGCAAACGCAUUAAGUG
rnacentral:rRNA from 1 species